UAGGUACCGGCAUGCUGACAGAUGUCCAGUCUGAGCCAUAGAUCGGACUGCUCUGCUCCUGGAUUCAGCGGCGGACGGGUGAGUAAUGCCUAGGAAUCUGCCUGGUAGUGGGGGACAACGUUUCGAAAGGAACGCUAAUACCGCAUACGUCCUACGGGAGAAAGCAGGGGACCUUCGGGCCUUGCGCUAUCAGAUGAGCCUAGGUCGGAUUAGCUAGUUGGUGAGGUAAUGGCUCACCAAGGCGACGAUCCGUAACUGGUCUGAGAGGAUGAUCAGUCACACUGGAACUGAGACACGGUCCAGACUCCUACGGGAGGCAGCAGUGGGGAAUAUUGGACAAUGGGCGAAAGCCUGAUCCAGCCAUGCCGCGUGUGUGAAGAAGGUCUUCGGAUUGUAAAGCACUUUAAGUUGGGAGGAAGGGUUGUAGAUUAAUACUCUGCAAUUUUGACGUUACCGACAGAAUAAGCACCGGCUAACUCUGUGCCAGCAGCCGCGGUAAUACAGAGGGUGCAAGCGUUAAUCGGAAUUACUGGGCGUAAAGCGCGCGUAGGUGGUUCGUUAAGUUGGAUGUGAAAUCCCCGGGCUCAACCUGGGAACUGCAUCCAAAACUGGCGAGCUAGAGUAUGGUAGAGGGUGGUGGAAUUUCCUGUGUAGCGGUGAAAUGCGUAGAUAUAGGAAGGAACACCAGUGGCGAAGGCGACCACCUGGACUGAUACUGACACUGAGGUGCGAAAGCGUGGGGAGCAAACAGGAUUAGAUACCCUGGUAGUCCACGCCGUAAACGAUGUCAACUAGCCGUUGGGAGCCUUGAGCUCUUAGUGGCGCAGCUAACGCAUUAAGUUGACCGCCUGGGGAGUACGGCCGCAAGGUUAAACUCAAAUGAAUUGACGGGGGCCCGCACAAGCGGUGGAGCAUGUUGUUUAAUUCGAAGCACGCGAAGAACCUUACCAGGCCUUGAACAUCCAAUGAACUUUCCAGAGAUGGGAUUGGUGCCUUCGGGAAGCAUUGAGACAGGUGCUGCAUGGCUUGUCGUCAGCUCGUGUCGUGAAGAAUGUGGGAUCAGUCCCGUAACCGAGCGCAAACCCUUGGUCCUUUAGUACCAGCACUGUUUAUGGUGGCACUCUUAGGAGACUUGGCGGUGACAAUCGAGGAACGUGGGAUGACGUCAGUCAUUCAUGGCCUUAACGGCCUGGCCUCA
rnacentral:rRNA from 1 species